rnacentral:rRNA from 1 species
UACGAAGGGUGCAAGCGUUACUCGGAAUUACUGGGCGUAAAGCGUGCGUAGGUGGUUUGUUAAGUCUGAUGUGAAAGCCCUGGGCUCAACCUGGGAACUGCAUUGGAUACUGGGCUUACUAGAGUAUGGCAGAGGGGGGUAGAAUCCACGUGUAGCAGUGAAAUGCGUAGAGAUGUGGAGGAAUACCGAUGGCGAAGGCGGCAUCCUGGACCGAAACUGACGCUGAGGCGCGAAAGCUAGGGGAGCAAACCGG